GAUGAACGCUGGCGGCGUGCCUAAUACAUGCAAGUCGAGCGAACGGACGAGAAGCUUGCUUCUCUGAUGUUAGCGGCGGACGGGUGAGUAACACGUGGAUAACCUACCUAUAAGACUGGGAUAACUUCGGGAAACCGGAGCUAAUACCGGAUAAUAUUUUGAACCGCAUGGUUCAAAAGUGAAAGACGGUCUUGCUGUCACUUAUAGAUGGAUCCGCGCUGCAUUAGCUAGUUGGUAAGGUAACGGCUUACCAAGGCAACGAUGCAUAGCCGACCUGAGAGGGUGAUCGGCCACACUGGAACUGAGACACGGUCCAGACUCCUACGGGAGGCAGCAGUAGGGAAUCUUCCGCAAUGGGCGAAAGCCUGACGGAGCAACGCCGCGUGAGUGAUGAAGGUCUUCGGAUCGUAAAACUCUGUUAUUAGGGAAGAACAUAUGUGUAAGUAACUGUGCACAUCUUGACGGUACCUAAUCAGAAAGCCACGGCUAGCUACGUGCCAGCAGCCGCGGUAAUACGUAGGUGGCAAGCGUUAUCCGGAAUUAUUGGGCGUAAAGCGCGCGUAGGCGGUUUUUUAAGUCUGAUGUGAAAGCCCACGGCUCAACCGUGGAGGGUCAUUGGAAACUGGAAAACUUGAGUGCAGAAGAGGAAAGUGGAAUUCCAUGUGUAGCGGUGAAAUGCGCAGAGAUAUGGAGGAACACCAGUGGCGAAGGCGACUUUCUGGUCUGUAACUGACGCUGAUGUGCGAAAGCGUGGGGAUCGAACAGGAUUAGAUACCCUGGUAGUCCACGCCGUAAACGAUGAGUGCUAAGUGUUAGGGGGUUUCCGCCCCUUAGUGCUGCAGCUAACGCAUUAAGCACUCCGCCUGGGGAGUACGACCGCAAGGUUGAAACCCAAAGGAAUUGACGGGGACCCGCACAAGCGGUGGAGCAUGUGGUUUAAUUCGAAGCAACGCGAAGAACCUUACCAAAUCUUGACAUCCUUUGACAACUCUAGAGAUAGAGCCUUCCCCUUCGGGGGACAAAGUGACAGGUGGUGCAUGGUUGUCGUCAGCUCGUGUCGUGAGAUGUUGGGUUAAGUCCCGCAACGAGCGCAACCCUUAAGCUUAGUUGCCAUCAUUAAGUUGGGCACUCUAAGUUGACUGCCGGUGACAAACCGGAGGAAGGUGGGGAUGACGUCAAAUCAUCAUGCCCCUUAUGAUUUGGGCUACACACGUGCUACAAUGGACAAUACAAAGGGCAGCGAAACCGCGAGGUCAAGCAAAUCCCAUAAAGUUGUUCUCAGUUCGGAUUGUAGUCUGCAACUCGACUACAUGAAGCUGGAAUCGCUAGUAAUCGUGGAUCAGCAUGCUACGGUGAAUACGUUCCCGGGUCU
rnacentral:rRNA from 1 species